AGUGAACGCCGGCGGUAGGCCUAACACAUGCAAGUCGAACGGCAGCACAGAGGAGCUUGCUCCUUGGGUGGCGAGUGGCGGACGGGUGAGGAAUACAUCGGAAUCUACUCUGUCGUGGGGGAUAACGUAGGGAAACUUACGCUAAUACCGCAUACGACCUACGGGUGAAAGCAGGGGACCUUCGGGCCUUGCGCGAUUGAAUGAGCCGAUGUCGGAUUAGCUAGUUGGCGGGGUAAAGGCCCACCAAGGCGACGAUCCGUAGCUGGUCUGAGAGGAUGAUCAGCCACACUGGAACUGAGACACGGUCCAGACUCCUACGGGAGGCAGCAGUGGGGAAUAUUGGACAAUGGGCGCAAGCCUGAUCCAGCCAUACCGCGUGGGUGAAGAAGGCCUUCGGGUUGUAAAGCCCUUUUGUUGGGAAAGAAAUCCAGCUGGCUAAUACCCGGUUGGGAUGACGGUACCCAAAGAAUAAGCACCGGCUAACUUCGUGCCAGCCGCCGCCGCGG
rnacentral:rRNA from 1 species